UACGGAGGGAGCUAGCGUUGUUCGGAAUUACUGGGCGUAAAGCGCACGUAGGCGGCUUUGUAAGUUAGAGGUGAAAGCCCGGGGCUCAACCCCGGAAUUGCCUUUAAGACUGCAUCGCUUGAAUCCGGGAGAGGUGAGUGGAAUUCCGAGUGUAGAGGUGAAAUUCGUAGAUAUUCGGAAGAACACCAGUGGCGAAGGCGGCUCACUGGACGACUGUUGACGCUGAGGUGCGAAAGCGUGGGGAGCAAACAGG
rnacentral:rRNA from 1 species